CCCUUAGAUGUUCUGGGCCGCACGCGCGCUACACUGUUCGACGCAGCGAGUCUUAACCUUGACCGAAAGGUUUGGGUAAUCUUCAGCAAAGUCGAACGUGAUGGGGAUCGAUCAUUGCAAUUAUUGAUCGUGAACGAGGAAUUCCCAGUAAGCGCAAGUCAUCAGCUCGCGUUGAUUACGUCCCUGCCCUUUGUACACACCGCCCGUCGCUACUACCGAUUGAACGGUUUAGUGAGGGCCUCGGAUUGGUCUCGGCCCGCUCUUUACCGGGCGGCGCCGUUGGUCGAGAAGACGCUCGAACUUGAUCGUUUAGAGGAAGUAAAAGUCGUAACA
rnacentral:rRNA from 1 species